rnacentral:rRNA from 1 species
AGAAUGAACGUUGGCGGCGUGGAUUAGGCAUGCAAGUCGUACGGGCCGCAAGGCCAGUGGCGCAAGGGUGAGUAAGGCGACGGUAACCAACCCCAUGACUGGGUAUAGCCGCGGGAAACUGCGGGUAAUCCCCAGCGACGUCCCGGGGGGCAUCCCCUGGGGACCAAAGCUCCGGCGUCGUGGGACGGGCCGUCGUGGUAUUAGGUUGUUGGCGGGGUAAUGGCCCACCAAGCCUGCGAUGCCUACCGGGCGUGCGAGCGCGACCCGGCACACUGGGACUGAGACACUGCCCAGACUCCUACGGGAGGCUGCAGUCGAGAAUCUUCGGCAAUGGGCGCAAGCCUGACCGAGCGACGCCGCGUGGAGGAUGAAGGCCUUCGGGUUGUAAACUCCUGUCGAGGGGAAGAGCCGGGUAACGUGACUGAUCCUGGAGAAGCACGGGCUAAGUUCGUGCCAUCAGCCGC